UACGUAGGGUCCGAGCGUUGUCCGGAAUUAUUGGGCGUAAAGGGCUCGUAGGCGGUUUGUCGCGUCGGGAGUGAAAACUCAGGGCUCAACCCUGAGCGUGCUUCCGAUACGGGCAGACUAGAGGUAUGCAGGGGAGAACGGAAUUCCUGGUGUAGCGGUGGAAUGCGCAGAUAUCAGGAGGAACACCGGUGGCGAAGGCGGUUCUCUGGGACGGUACUGACGCUGAGACGCGAAAGCGUGGGGAGCGAACAGG
rnacentral:rRNA from 1 species